AGCUUCCAAGAUGACAGAGAACAGGAGGUUGCGAUGACUACUGUUGAGACCAUUGUCAAGGGAAAGUCCUUUUCUUUUGAAGACCACUUGGAUGCUGACAUUUGCUGGAAGUGCCUAGAUUACUGCGAAGGCUUGGCUGGGUUUAUGGUUGACAAAACAUCUUUUGGUGACAUCAGAAGGGACCUACUGGUGUCCGCGUGGGCAGAAGAGAG
rnacentral:lncRNA from 1 species